UGGGAAUUUUCCGCAAUGGGCGAAAGCCUGACGGAGCAACGCCGCGUGAGGGAGGAAGGCCUUUGGGUUGUAAACCUCUUUUCUAGGGGAAGAAGCAAGUGACGGUACCCUAGGAAUCAGCAUCGGCUAACUCCGUGCCAGCAGCCGCGGUAAUACGGAGGAUGCAAGCGUUAUCCGGAAUUAUUGGGCGUAAAGCGUCCGCAGGUGGCUAUACAAGUCUGCUGUCAAAGACCGUAGCUUAACUACGGAAAGGCGGUGGAAACUGUAAGGCUAGAGGCCGGUAGGGGUAGCGGGAAUUUCCAGUGUAGCGGUGAAAUGCGUAGAGAUUGGAAAGAACAUCGGUGGCGAAAGCGCGCUACUGGGCUGUGCCUGACACUGAGGGACGAAAGCUAGGGGAGCGAAAGGGAUUAGAUACCCCUGUAGUCCUAGCCGUAAACGAUGGAGACUAGGCGUAGCUUGUAUCGACCCAAGCUGUGCCGAAGCUAACGCGUUAAGUCUCCCGCCUGGGGAGUACGCACG
rnacentral:rRNA from 1 species